rnacentral:rRNA from 1 species
GGAUGGGUGAGUAACACGUGGGUAACCUGCCCUAAAGUCUGGGAUACCACUUGGAAACAGGUGCUAAUACCGGAUAACAACAAUAGCUGCAUGGCUAUUGCUUAAAAGGCGGCGAAAGCUGUCGCUAAAGGAUGGACCCGCGGUGCAUUAGCUAGUUGGUAAGGUAAUGGCUUACCAAGGCGACGAUGCAUAGCCGAGUUGAGAGACUGAUCGGCCACAUUGGGACUGAGACACGGCCCAAACUCCUACGGGAGGCAGCAGUAGGGAAUCUUCCACAAUGGGCGAAAGCCUGAUGGAGCAACGCCGCGUGAGUGAAGAAGGUUUUCGGAUCGUAAAGCUCUGUUGUUGGUGAAGAAGGAUAGAGGUAGUAACUGGCCCCUAUUUGACGGUAAUCAACCAGAAAGUCACGGCUAACUACGUGCCAGCAGCCGCGGUAAUACGUAGGUGGCAAGCGUUGUCCGGAUUUAUUGGGCGUAAAGCGAGCGCAGGCGGAAAGAUAAGUCUGAUGUGAAAGCCCCCGGCUUAACCGAGGAAUUGCAUCGGAAACUGUGUUUCUUGAGUGCAGAAGAGGAGAGUGGAACUCCAUGUGUAGCGGUGGAAUGCGUAAAUAUAUGGAAGAACACCAGUGGCGAAGGCGGCUCUCUGGUCUGUAACUGAC